CCUACGGGCGGCAGCAGUAGGGAAUCUUCCACAAUGGACGAAAGUCUGAUGGAGCAACGCCGCGUGAGUGAAGAAGGGUUUCUGCUCGUUAAGCUCUGUUGGUAGUGAAGAAAGAUAGAGGUAGUAACUCGCCCUUCUUUUACGGUAAUUACUUAGAAAGUCUCGGCUAAAUACGUGCCAGCCGCUGCGGUAAUACGUAGGUGGCAAGCGUUGUCCGGAUUUUUUGGGCGUAAAGCGAGUGCAGGCGGUUCAAUAAGUCUGAUGUGAAAGCCUUCGGCUCCACCGGAGACUUGCAUCAGAAACUGGUGAACUUGAGUGCAGAAGAGGAGAGUGGAACUCCAUGUGUAGCGGUGGAAUGCGUAGAUAUAGGGAAGAACACCAGUGGCGAAGGCGGCUCUCUGGUCUGCAACUGACGCUGAGGCUCGAAAGCAUGGGUAGCGAACAGGAUUAGAUACCCUUGUAGUC
rnacentral:rRNA from 1 species